AUUGAACGCUGGCGGCAGGCCUAACACAUGCAAGUCGAACGGUAACAGGAAGCAGCUUGCUGCUUCGCUGACGAGUGGCGGACGGGUGAGUAAUGUCUGGGAAGCUGCCUGAUGGAGGGGGAUAACUACUGGAAACGGUAGCUAAUACCGCAUAAUGUCGCAAGACCAAAGAGGGGGACCUUCGGGCCUCUUGCCAUCGGAUGUGCCCAGAUGGGAUUAGCUUGUUGGUGGGGUAACGGCUCACCAAGGCGACGAUCCCUAGCUGGUCUGAGAGGAUGACCAGCAAAACUGGAACUGAGACACGGUCCAGACUCCUCCGGGAGGAAGCAGUGGGGAAUAUUGCACAAUGGGCGAAAGCCUGAUGCAGACAUGCCGCGUGUAUGAAGAAGGCCUUCGGGUUGUAAAGUACUUUCAGCGGGGAGGAAGGGAGUAAAGUUAAUAACUUUGCCAAUUGACGUUACCCGCAGAAGAAGCAACGGCUAACUCCGUG
rnacentral:rRNA from 1 species